GGGAGCCGAAGGGAAACCGAGUCUUACUGGGCGUUAAGUUGCAGGGUAUAGACCCGAAACCCGGUGAUCUAGCCAUGGGCAGGUUGAAGGUUGGGUAACACUAACUGGAGGACCGAACCGACUAAUGUUGAAAAAUUAGCGGAAUGACUUGUGGCUGGGGGUGAAAGGCCAAUCAAACCGGGAGAUAGCUGGUUCUCCCCGAAAGCUAUUUAGGUAGCGCCUCGUGGAAUUCAUCUUCGGGGGUAGAGCACUGUUUCGGCUAGGGGGUCAUCCCGACUUACCAACCCGAUGCAAACUGCGAAUACCGAAGAAUGUUAUCACGGGAGACACACGGCGGGUGCUAACGUCCGUCGUGAAGAGGGAAACAACCCAGACCGCCAGCUAAGGUCCCAAAGUCAUGGUUAAGUGGGAAACGAUGUGGGAAGGCACAGACAGCCAGGAUGUUGGCUUAGAAGCAGCCAUCAUUUAAAGAAAGCGUAAUAGCUCACUGGUCGAGUCGGCCUGCGCGGAAGAUGUAACGGGGCUAAACCAUGCACCGAAGCUGCGGCAGCGACACUAUGUGUUGUUGGGUAGGGGAGCGUUCUGUAAGCCGUUGAAGGUGUGCUGUGAGGCAUGCUGGAGGUAUCAGAAGUGCGAAUGCUGACAUAAGUAACGAUAAUGCGGGUGAAAAACCCGCACGCCGGAAGACCAAGGGUUCCUGUCCAACGUUAAUCGGGGCAGGGUGAGUCGACCCCUAAGGCGAGGCCGAAAGGCGUAGUCGAUGGGAAACAGGUUAAUAUUCCUGUACUUGGUGUUACUGCGAAGGGGGGACGGAGAAGGCUAUGUUAGCCGGGCGACGGUUGUCCCGGUUUAAGCAUGUAGGCGGAGAUUCCAGGUAAAUCCGGAGUCUUGUUAACGCUGAGGUGUGAUGACGAGGCACUACGGUGCUGAAGUAACAAAUGCCCUGCUUCCAGGAAAAGCCUCUAAGCAUCAGGUAACACAAAAUCGUACCCCAAACCGACACAGGUGGUCAGGUAGAGAAUACCAAGGCGCUUGAGAGAACUCGGGUGAAGGAACUAGGCAAAAUGGUGCCGUAACUUCGGGAGAAGGCACGCUGAUAUGUAGGUGAAGUGAUUUACUCAUGGAGCUGAAAUCAGUCGAAGAUACCAGCUGGCUGCAACUGUUUAUUAAAAACACAGCACUGUGCAAACACGAAAGUGGACGUAUACGGUGUGACGCCUGCCCGGUGCCGGAAGGUUAAUUGAUGGGGUUAUCCGUAAGGAGAAGCUCUUGAUCGAAGCCCCGGUAAACGGCGGCCGUAACUAUAACGGUCCUAAGGUAGCGAAAUUCCUUGUCGGGUAAGUUCCGACCUGCACGAAUGGCGUAAUGAUGGCCAGGCUGUCUCCACCCGAGACUCAGUGAAAUUGAACUCGCUGUGAAGAUGCAGUGUACCCGCGGCAAGACGGAAAGACCCCGUGAACCUUUACUAUAGCUUGACACUGAACACUGGUCCUUGAUGUGUAGGAUAGGUGGGAGGCUUUGAAGUGUGGACGCCAGUCUGCAUGGAGCCAACCUUGAAAUACCACCCUUUAAUGGCUGGUGUUCUAACGUAGACCCGUAAUCCGGGUUGCGGACAGUGUCUGGUGGGUAGUUUGACUGGGGCGGUCUCCUCCUAAAGAGUAACGGAGGAGCACGAAGGUUAGCUAAUCCUGGUCGGACAUCAGGAGGUUAGUGCAAAGGCAUAAGCUAGCUUGACUGCGAGAGUGACGGCUCGAGCAGGUGCGAAAGCAGGUCUUAGUGAUCCGGUGGUUCUGAAUGGAAGGGCCAUCGCUCAACGGAUAAAAGGUACUCCGGGGAUAACAGGCUGAUACCGCCCAAGAGUUCAUAUCGACGGCGGUGUUUGGCACCUCGAUGUCGGCUCAUCACAUCCUGGGGCUGAAGUAGGUCCCAAGGGUAUGGCUGUUCGCCAUUUAAAGUGGUACGCGAGCUGGGUUUAGAACGUCGUGAGACAGUUCGGUCCCUAUCUGCCGUGGGCGCUGGAGAAUUGAGGGGGGCUGCUCCUAGUACGAGAGGACCGGAGUGGACGCAUCACUGGUGUUCGGGUUGUCAUGCCAAUGGCAUUGCCCGGUAGCUAAAUGCGGAAGAGAUAAGUGCUGAAAGCAUCUAAGCACGAAACUUGCCCCGAGAUGAGUUCUCCCUGACCCUUUAAGGGUCCUGAAGGAACGUUGAAGACGACGACGUUGAUAGGUCGGGUGUGUAAGCGUAGCGAUACGUUGAGCUAACCGAUACUAAUGAACCGUGAGGCUUAACCUU
rnacentral:rRNA from 1 species